AAGUCGUAACAAGGUUUCUGUAGGUGAACCUGCGGAAGGAUCAUUAAUGAUUUUAAAGCGAGUCGAGCGUUAAGCGAGGCUUGCGAAAAUAUUUAAAACCCCACUCUUUUUAACUUUAAAAAAAAUAAAUCAUGAUACAUGAAUUUAAAAAAAAGAUCACUUUCAACAACGGAUCUCUUGGCUCUC
rnacentral:misc_RNA from 1 species